rnacentral:pre_miRNA from 1 species
GAGAAGACAAACCACCAGCGAGGUAUAGAGUUCCUAUGUGCCCAAAGCCGUUCGCUACUCAUAGGAACUUCAUACCGUGCUCUUGGUUUGAUCUGA